GCUGUCAGUGUGUUUUUAGGGUGACUAACCUGCCACCUCUUGAUCUUCUUCAUCCCAAAGCCACAUUCAAUUAUAAGAAAAAUCAGGCGAAGCCUAAUAGAAGAGUAUCAACAAAACUUGAUUGUUACUUCUUUAAGCAAGAAAAGACAAAGGCUUUGGCAGCCCAGAGGAAUCUGUGAAGACAAUCCAGUGAGAUGUGAAGGUAUCCUGGAGGCACUCAAGAAAAGAAAAGGCACGUGGCGUUACAGUCAAGGAAUUCGUAAGAAGAGUGACCGCAAAUGCAGAGACCCUUGGAUGCUCACUGUGAGAAGAAGGAAUUGCUGCAGGCUUAGCCCAAGCAGGACAUUUAUAUCACCUCUUCUAAGUUCAGGAAGAUGGUGAAGAAAGGAUGUAAGAGAGAGAAGACUCAGAGAAGAGUUAAGACAUUCUGUCUUCCAGGCAUGACAUCGCCUUUUUAAUCAUGUGCUCACAGCAGUUGUGCAGCAUAUCCUAGGCUUGAACAAGACUGGACCUGUGAAUAGCCAGUCACAGAUACCUCUCCCUGAUGAACGUGGCUAUUAGUGGAUUCCAGUGUCCAUACUUUCAGACUGGUACCUAUUGGUGGAACCACCAAGUUCCAUUGGAUGAAACAAUAGUCACUCAUGUGGUGCUUGUAAUGCUCCAUGGGUCAAAACCCAAAAAGAUAGAAAUAUAGGUAGGACCUCUAGAGAAGAGGGUACUGUUUACAAGUGAUGGGGGAGAAAAGAAAGGGUCGGGGGGUGAGAGUAGUCAGGAUGUGCUAUUUAGUGUAUAAAAUUGUCAAAGAACAAAUGUAAUUAGUUUUUUUUUAAUCUCAAAGACUUAUCAUCUCAUGCCAACUAAAAUGGUUAUCGAAAGAACAAAAAUUAACCAAAAUGGUAAGGAUGUAAGAAACAAGAACUCUUACACUUGAGGUGAAUACAGUUACUACGGAAAACAAUGAGGAAGUUCCUAAAAAACGAGAAGAUUUUCCAUAUGAGCAACCUGUGUUAUGAUAAGACGUGAAGCCCACAACCUUAUAUUACUGUAAUAGUGUCAAUAGGACAUAGAGUCAGCAUAGGCUUUCCCCACUGUUGGGUUUCUUAAAAUGUGACAUAUUUACACAAUAGGAAGCCACUUGACCUUGGGGAGGAUCUGUCACUGUAGCAAAAUCAAUAAAUUACGUGAAGUAUUAGAGAAUAUUAAAUUAUGUGAAAUAAUCCAGGCACAGAAAGACAAGUAAUGCACGGUCCCUUUCACAUGUGGAUGCAAAAAGAGCCAAUCUGAAAAGAGAGAGGUUGGAAAAGAAGGCCGUGGAGAUGACAGAUAAGCAGGGCUGGGUUUGAUCAGUACAGCUGCAUGCUUACGUAGAAAUGCACUCUACUCAUUAAAAUGUACAACUGAGCAUGUAACUCCAAAUGUUUAAAAGGAAACUUGAUGGGGGGGGAUCAUCUUAAGAUUUGAAGGGGUUGAGAGUGUGACAUUAUCAGGAGGGAUGCUCUCAAGUACCUGGGUACCUCCAGCAUAGAAAAGGCCAACCCAGGAAAUAACAGUUGUGACUCUGAAAAAAAAUCUAUACCAGCACGUAUGGAGUCACUUUAGACACUUCUGGCUUCUAUUAAGUCUCUAUACAGUCAACAUUGGCUUGCAUUUAAUACAGAAGGUAAUGAGAGGUCAUUGAAAUUGUUUCUUGAAGCAGCCAAGAACUUUUACGACUGUUCUCAGCGUAGAGCCAAGGCCUUAAUCCACAUCUGCAAACCGAAGACAUUUGAUUAGAUAACUUCCAGCUGUAAAAAUUGUAUGAUUAGCUAAUUAUUCAUUAUAGAGGUUUGGCCCUUUAAGUUUGUCUCCCAUGAAUCAAUUUAUGUCAGCUCGAACCUGAUGGAACCAAGCCAUAAACAUAAAGGCAUUUCAUCUUGGAAUUACACAUAGUAUCAUACGAAGAAGAGAUAUUUCAUCCUAAAGAUAACUCUAGGACUGACAGAGUAGUUAAUAGACUCCUGUAAGUGGACCAUGCUUAAGGAUGCUAGAAGACUGGAAAGGAAGAACAGGAAGAUGGCAGACUACUUAGAGUCUUCUCCCUUCAUCACCCAUCACCAUCUUUUUCUGUCGCAGUGAUAAAUGCAAUGGAUUCUUCUCUCCCACGAUAGCCUUCUGUUGUUGGAAAGGAACAAAUCCUUCAUCUUUGGACUGAGAUUUUCCCAGCCCUGAGUAUCCCAUCAAAUGUUUCCCAGGAAGAGCAGGUAGGGGAGCUCUUCUAACAUCUAACAGUAUUUUCAAAAUGCUUUUACAACUCACUCAAUGUAGCUUUAUCCUAAAUAACCUUUCCCAGUCAUUAGUAGCAAUUACCAAGACUUCUCUCCCACCUAAAGGUUCUAUAAGAUGUUGUAACACCCUCACUUUUGCGGAAUAAUCAGCAGUAUGUUUUUUCUGACCAACAGUUCUCUUCCUGAAGUAUUCUGGACAAGUUUCAGCACCAGGUAUAUAGGGAUACAGCCAGACUACACUGGAAAGCAACAGCAGUUGGAGGUUUAUAGACUCCUACAAAGCAAGUGGAAAGACAGUACAGUGGAAAACUUGUAUCGUCUUUCCUGUUGCAAACGGUCCUUAUGGUCCAGUCUAAAUAUUUAAGGGCCAUUCACUACAACUGAUCUAAUUAGGGGCACCGGAGGUAACACCAGUGACUUCACCUCAUCAGGACAAUUUUCUUGUUAACCGAUAUGCUUUGCAAUGACACAGGAAGGAUCAUUUUGCAAGAAAACAGGGCAAGAGGAGUCUAAAUAUUCCCCAAUGCAUUGGGGAAAAAAAUUGUAUUUUAUGCAUACAAUUAAAUAAUUUAUGUAACUAUGAUAACAGUAAAACCAUCUUUAUAUUUAAAACUCCCAAUCUGUGGGGAAAAAUUAUAAAAACCAAGGUGUUCGUUAGGAUUCAUAACCUUUAAUAUCAUUCUAUCCUUUAUCUUGAAGCCAAGGAGGAUGUAAAAAGACUCAACUAUACUGUUGGGAGGGUCUGCUAGGAUUAAAUUAUGUAAUAAAACUGAGAAAUGCUUGAACAUACACUCUUCUUUUCACAUCUAUUAAGGUUUAGUGAAAAAUUAAAAUUUAUGUAUACUGAAUAACCAUGUGUAAUUUUGAAGGCUAUUCUUGGUUGUCAACUGGACUACAUCUUGAACAAAUAAAAUCCCAAGACUAAGUA